AGAUAAGAAGACGUGGUCGGAGUGCCAAUGAGACAACUCUCCAUCCAAGUCAUAACGUUUUAAAAUAAAACAAUUAUAAUUAUGUCAAAGUACAGCCUCCAACACAGAUCCUUGGCUCACACCAAACAGCAAGAUAUAAAGGGCCCCAUAAUGACUAUUGUGAACCAAUUCAAUCAAGCAGGUAAACCAACGGUCUAAUCUAUAUAAAAACGAGAAACGAGAAACACUUAUGAACAACCUCAACAAACUACAACAAUUUAACAACAGGCUCCUGACUUAGCUAGGACAGGUAUAUACAAAUGCAGCGGGUUUCAACAGACACCGACCUUCGUCCUAAUAUGAAACAGUAGUGUAGCAUUACAACUCAAAGACAUAAAAACAAACACAAGUAAACAGUCACUGAAUGGAUAGGUUUGAUCUAUGACACACUAUGAGUACAAUAUUUAUAAUUCCCCACUGUUUGUGUUCUCGUGUAGCUGCUCCUCAGGGGUUUCAAUACCUUACAGAGGAGUAUGUUUCCCCACUGUUUGUGUUUUCGUGUGUUCUCGUGUAGCUGCUCUUCGGGGGUUUCAAUACCUUACAGAGGAGUAUGUUAAAAAAAGUUGUUGAGCAAUGUCAAAAAGACAACUAUUAUCUGG
rnacentral:lncRNA from 1 species